AGCUCGCAUUUUUAUCGUGUUUUUUGGUCUCAAAUCAAAAUUGCUUCAUUCAUAGAUGUUUUAUACAAUAAUUUAACGUUAAAGAGUAAGUAAUGUGUGUUUUUAACAUAUUAUUUUUUAUGUAACGUUUUUUAUAUAGAAACUAUACUUGUACAUAUUGGAAGUUUUCUUUCAAAAGUGCAAAAAGAUAUUUCAAAACAUAACUUCAAAAUGUUUCAAAAUUAAACAUAUAUUGAAAGUUAUCUUCUAAAACAUUCUAAAAGGCAAAAUUAGAAUUUUUAGGGGAGGGGGGUUGAGAGCAACGUCGGAGGCCUAAAGAGCAAAAUUCCAAAUAAAAUGAUCUAUUGAGGAUCAAGUUAUGGACACGUCUUGGAUUUUGAAAUAUAACUUUUAAAUUUUGUGAAUUUAUGUAAGUUUUUAAUUUUUGUACUUUCACUUCUUCAACGUUCAACCUCUCAAUCUCUCAAAAGCUCGAAUUUUUUCGUGUUUUUUGGGUCUCAAAUCAAAAUUGCUUCAUUCAUAGAUGUUUUAUACAAUAAUUUAACGCCAAAGAGUAGUAGGACCCUGUUUCAUUUCAUGUUCACUCGUGGUCUGUUACAUCACACUUGGCCUUACGCUCUUUCCCAUCAUCAAAGGAUUGCAUAUGGGGAGAGGAGAGGAGAGGAGAACGCAAGCAAGCUGUUAACUUUGAAUUUUAAAAUGUAGCUUGACAUGUGCCCUCAGGACACAAGUUAAGAUAGCCCUUUAAAUAUAUACUACCACUCCGUAUUAUUUUUGUAAAUUUG